AGCAUUAACCGGUUACUAAAUUCAUCUUGAGUCAAAUGAAAUAAACUAAUCUAUGUAAUUUAUUUAUUUAACACUUCACCGAUCACUUGGAAGAUUCCAAUUAAUAUUAGAAAAAAAAAAUAUAUAUAUAUACUAGCAUAACUUCCAACAUAGGCAUAUACUUCAGAUGGUCUUUUGAACGAAGGGAGCUAAUUUAAGAGCCCACAUUUUAAUUUUCCUUAUUUUUUUAGUAAAAAUUAGGCAAAUCACAUAGUCUAAGGGACAAGUUACUUUCAAUCCUUACUCUUUCACUAUUUACCAAAAUUCUUUUUUUAAAUAAUAAUUCGGAUACUUAAUAUUGCAGAAUGAUACUUAAAUUAGAGCAGACAAAUACUUUAAUAUUUAAUUUGUUGUUAUCAGUUAUAGCGUAAAAAAAGGGAUUACAUUUAUCCCACGAUUCACGCGGACGUUUAACAAAUUUAGCAUCCAAUCUGCACAAAACUCUAACUGAUUUGGGCAUUCGUGUAUUUUAAAUUGUGAAAUCUUCACACUGUUCUUUGAAAAAAACAACCAAAUUUUGUUUAAUAUAAGUCUGGAAUGCAAUUUGUGAAGAUUCAAAAAUGAAUAUUUCAAUCUUUUUAAGACAUUCUGGAUCAUGGAAAAGUGAUGUUAUAUACGAGCGAUACAAAAGUGAUGGGAUAGUGGUUAGGGAAAAUAUUUCGUUCAUGAAUUUUAUUUCAACAAUUGCGGCUGGGUUGGGUAUUGAUGAAUCGAAAAAAGAUAUUGAAAUUAGAUAUGUUGUUGAGGGUAAUUCGUCUCCAUUGUGUAUUCAGACUGAUAUGGGGUUGAAAUUGUACAUAAAAAAUUAAGAAACAUGAGGUGGAAUUUAGAAUGUAUCCUCUAUGCAUCGAUACAUCAGAUAAAUAUGUUAAAGAGAUAUUAAAUUUUGAUGCAACAACAGGUGCAAUUGUGUGUGUAAAGGUGGAAAAAACGACGCAAAGGCUCUAAGCAUUGUUGAAUAAAAAAAUGGUGAUACAUAUUACAUACCAGAAAUGGAGGUGAAAAAUUAUAUAUUAGAUAUCAAUAUUUCUGUUGUGUAAGAGAAACAAUUGUACAAAGAUAAAGCAGCUUUAAAGGUUGUAAUGGAAAAUUACAAAUAAAGAAUAACUUCAAUUUUAAAGUUAAAAGAUCUGACAACAAAAUGUAUGUUAUACAAUUAUAUGAUAAUGUCCUAAUAAUAUAUAUUUUGUUUAUAAUAUGUUUACCAUGAUACACUAAUAAUAUCUGUUACGUGUACUCGUAAUAUAAUGUAUCUUGUUCAUUUUGAUGUUUUUCUGGGUAUUAAUGUAUAAAGUAAUAAUGGUAGAUGAAAAAUGUUUAAGAGUAGAUUUGUGAUUACUUUACAGAAUAAAGUAUCAUAAUGUGAUAAAUGUAUUUAUGAAAGUAUCAAUUCGAUCUUGUAAUUGAAAUAAGGUAUCAUAAUGUACUUUUAUUUUUAUUUAUGUAUUAGUAACCUGACCAAAUAACUAAUAUAUGCUAUGUAAUUGGAGCUACAUAUUAGUUUGUUAUUCACAUGAUUGCUGUUGGAAAUUGAAGGUCUCUGUUAGGAAAAAAUCUGAGACAUUCAAAGCGUGAUACUUUAAUAGUAAACAUACAUGUCCAUUGAGGGAUAUGGUAUUAAGUAAGGUACAAGCUACUGUUGGGUUUGUUAGUGGUGUCACAACUCAAAAAUUAGGGAAUCAUAAAAGGAACAUACUCUAAACAAUAUAAUUGAGGAUAUUAGGGAAAUGUACGACAUUGAGAUUUCUUACCAACUAGCAUGGCGGGCUAAAGAGAGUGCAUUGGAAAUGAUAAGGGGUAAACCUGCUGAUGGAUAUACAAAAAUGCCAAGAUACAUAUAUAUGUUUGAAACUGUGUAUCCAAAUUCAUAUGUAAGUAUGCACAAGUCCGAAUAUAAUGAGUUUAUGUAUCUUUUCAUAUCAUUAAGGCCGAUGAUGAGAGGAUUUGAGUUUUGUAGUCCAGUUGUUGUUGUUGAUGUUUCACAUCUUAGUGGAGGUUAUCGAGGGACAUUUGUAUCUGCUAGUACACUCGAUGGAGCAGGUUGCAUAUUGCCUUUGGCGUACGAAAUUGUUGAGACGAAAAAUGAUUGUUCAUGGACAUAGUUCUUUCAACAGUUUAAAAAUGCAUUUGGUGAGAGGAUAAAAUGUGUGUUGUUGCAUCUUCUGAGUUUAUUUUUUCAGUGUAUGAUGGUGGAAUAGAUUCAUUGUUUGUCUUGAGAGGAAAACUUGUUCAUGUGGUAGAUUUUAAUAUGAUGAGAUACCUUGUCCGCAUGCAAUAGCCGUUCUGAAGAAGAAAAAUAUAACAGAUGUACACCCCUACAACUCUAUUUUAAACACGAUGCAUUAACAAAUACUUAUACAACUCCAAGGGAAUAAAUGCCAGACAAAAGUGAUUGGACAGCUCCGGACUGUGUUUUGAAGAAGUUGUCUUGCUACCUAGAUACAAAAAGAUGCCUGGUAGACCAAAAAAAAAGAGAAAGAAAAAUCCAGAUGAAAAGCUAACAACAAAAACUAAUUGUUGUGGACGUUGUGGACAAGACAGUCAUAAUAUAAGAACAUAUACCUUUUUUUCAAAAGAUUCUUGAUGAUUUUUCUUUUUUGUUGUUUUAUGCUUCAUGUGUAAUAAUGUUUCUGGAUAUCUUGAA